CCUACGGGAGGCUGCAGUCGGGAAUAUUGCGCAAUGGAGGAAACUCUGACGCAGUGACGCCGCGUGCAGGAAGAAGGUUUUCGGAUUGUAAACUGCUUUAGACAGGGAAGAAAAAAGACAGUACCUGUAGAAUAAGCUCCGGCUAACUACGUGCCAGCAGCCGCGGUAAUACGUAGGGAGCAAGCGUUAUCCGGAUUUAUUGGGUGUAAAGGGUGCGUAGACGGAGAAGCAAGUUAGUUGUGAAAUCCCUCGGCUUAACUGAGGAACUGCCUCUAAUACUGUUGAUCUAGAGAGUAGAUGCGGUAGGCGGAAUGUAUGGUGUAGCGGUGAAAUGCUUAGAUAUCAUACAGAACACCGAUUGCGAAGGCAGCUUACCAAUCUAUAUCUGACGUUGAGGCACGAAAGCGUGGGGAGCAAACAGGAUUAGAUACCCGUGUAGUC
rnacentral:rRNA from 1 species